rnacentral:rRNA from 1 species
AAAUUGAAGAGUUUGAUCAUGGCUCAGAUUGAACGCUGGCGGCAGGCCUAACACAUGCAAGUCGAACGGUAACAGGAAGCAGCUUGCUGCUUCGCUGACGAGUGGCGGACGGGUGAGUAAUGUCUGGGAAACUGCCUGAUGGAGGGGGAUAACUACUGGAAACGGUAGCUAAUACCGCAUAACGUCGCAAGACCAAAGAGGGGGACCUUCGGGCCUCUUGCCAUCGGAUGUGCCCAGAUGGGAUUAGCUUGUUGGUGGGGUAACGGCUCACCAAGGCGACGAUCCCUAGCUGGUCUGAGAGGAUGACCAGCCACACUGGAACUGAGACACGGUCCAGACUCCUACGGGAGGCAGCAGUGGGGAAUAUUGCACAAUGGGCGCAAGCCUGAUGCAGCCAUGCCGCGUGUAUGAAGAAGGCCUUCGGGUUGUAAAAGUACUUUCAGCGGGGAGGAAGGGAGUAAAGUUAAUACCUUUGCUCAUUGACGUUACCCGCAGAAGAAGCACCGGCUAACUCCGUGCCAGCAGCCGCGGUAAUACGGAGGGUGCAAGCGUUAAUCGGAAUUACUGGGCGUAAAGCGCACGCAGGCGGUUUGUUAAGUCAGAUGUGAAAUCCCCGGGCUCAACCUGGGAACUGCAUCUGAUACUGGCAAGCUUGAGUCUCGUAGAGGGGGGUAGAAUUCCAGGUGUAGCGGUGAAAUGCGUAGAGAUCUGGAGGAAUACCGGUGGCGAAGGCGGCCCCCUGGACGAAGACUGACGCUCAGGUGCGAAAGCGUGGGGAGCAAACAGGAUUAGAUACCCUGGUAGUCCACGCCGUAAACGAUGUCGACUUGGAGGUUGUGCCCUUGAGGCGUGGCUUCCGGAGCUAACGCGUUAAGUCGACCGCCUGGGGAGUACGGCCGCAAGGUUAAAACUCAAAUGAAUUGACGGGGGCCCGCACAAGCGGUGGAGCAUGUGGUUUAAUUCGAUGCAACGCGAAGAACCUUACCUGGUCUUGACAUCCACAGAACUUUCCAGAGAUGGAUUGGUGCCUUCGGGAACUGUGAGACAGGUGCUGCAUGGCUGUCGUCAGCUCGUGUUGUGAAAUGUUGGGUUAAGUCCCGCAACGAGCGCAACCCUUAUCCUUUGUUGCCAGCGGUCCGGCCGGGAACUCAAAGGAGACUGCCAGUGAUAAACUGGAGGAAGGUGGGGAUGACGUCAAGUCAUCAUGGCCCUUACGACCAGGGCUACACACGUGCUACAAUGGCGCAUACAAAGAGAAGCGACCUCGCGAGAGCAAGCGGACCUCAUAAAGUGCGUCGUAGUCCGGAUUGGAGUCUGCAACUCGACUCCAUGAAGUCGGAAUCGCUAGUAAUCGUGGAUCAGAAUGCCACGGUGAAUACGUUCCCGGGCCUUGUACACACCGCCCGUCACACCAUGGGAGUGGGUUGCAAAAGAAGUAGGUAGCUUAACCUUCGGGAGGGCGCUUACCACUUUGUGAUUCAUGACUGGGGUGAAGUCGUAACAAGGUAACCGUAGGGGAACCUGCGGUUGGAUCACCUCCUUA